UGGGGAAUUUUGGACAAUGGGCGAAAGCCUGAUCCAGCAAUGCCGCGUGAGUGAAGAAGGCCUUCGGGUUGUAAAGCUCUUUUGUCAGGGAAGAAACGGUGAGAGCUAAUAUCUCUUGCUAAUGACGGUACCUGAAGAAUAAGCACCGGCUAACUACGUGCCGGCAGCCGCGGUAAUACAGGGGGUGCAAGCGUUAAUCGGAAUUACUGGGCGUAAAGCGUGCGCAGGCGGUUUUGUAAGUCUGAUGUGAAAUCCCCGGGCUCAACCUGGGAAUUGCAUUGGAGACUGCAAGGCUAGAAUCUGGCAGAGGGGGGUAGAAUUCCACGUGUAGCAGUGAAAUGCGUAGAUAUGUGGAGGAACACCGAUGGCGAAGGCAGCCCCCUGGGUCAAGAUUGACGCUCAUGCACGAAAGCGUGGGGAGCAAACAGGAUUAGAUACCCUUGUAGUCCCUGAGCGGGCUGGCAAGGCGCAU
rnacentral:rRNA from 1 species